CCGGCGGCGCGUUCCUGGCAGCGGCCCCUCCCCGCCGCGCGCUCCGCCCCCAACUUCUCAUUCACACUUUCCCCCCACCCCCCUCCCUUCUAAGAAGGCUGAUUUCUGGCAGAGGCGGGGGCGCCGCUUCGGGAGAGCGGGCAGUUCUAGGAGGCCGACCUGGAGAGCCUCCCGGUUCCCCUUCCCCUUUUCCCGGACCCCGCGGGGACACCCCCUCGCCGCCACCCGGGCCUCCCCGAGGGCCCAACUGCGGGUCAGGCGGCCCGGGCCAGCCGAAAGGGAAGUGGGGCUACCCCACAGCCAGGCAGCGGGGCUGGGGUCAGACCCGGGAGCCGGAGGUUGGAGACGUGCGACAGUCACCUGCGGGCAGAUUCCAGAGGGGAGACCCAGGGCUGCAGGGGACGCCCCUUCGUGGCAGCUACCCAGCCUCGGCCCACUGCCAGGCGGAGGCGAGAGGAUCACUUGAGCAUGGACAUUCAAGACCAGCCUGGGCAGCAAAUGUUACGUGGCUGCAUGACCAUACACUUCUGGGUAGAGCCCAGUGGAAGACAAAGAAGACUCAAGGAAUAGCCCUUGAGGGCUCAGGAGCUAUACAGAUGGGAUAGAGGGUGUGAGUGCUGGGAAGCCCCAUCCAUGGCUCGCUGGAGAUUAGAGGCCUGUUAAUCUGAAGACAAAGGAAUGAAGACGAAAACGUUUCUGAAAAUGUGGGUGGAGACACCUGGGCCUUUACAGGGUACGCUCCAGAGCUGCUUCCAGGCAGGGACCCCGGCUGAGAGAAGCCAGAGCCAGAGAGUCGCAGGCUUGCUUGCUCUUAUCUUCCCUCUGCUGGGGGGGUCGAGGGGAGAUCUGGCCCCUCUGCUCUGCCCUCCUGAUUUCCCGUCUAAGGGAUUUAGGAGACUUUUGCCUUUUCCUAAUCUCUCCCUUUGCAGAAUUUCUGCGAAGUCACAAUCCCAUUUCCAGGCAAAGGUGCUUGGUCAUAAAGAUAAUAAAGAUAUUCAUUCAUGAUGGAGGGGAAGUACACAGUGGUUUCAGCUGCCUGUAGGGCUCCACUUACUCAUGGUGUGUGACAGAUGCUGAGCCCUUCCCCAAAUCUCAUGGAUGGGAAGGAAACCUGGCGCCGCGGGGUGGUCGCGGGAAGCCGUGGCAUGGCUUGGUGAACACAGGCUCGCCGACCCGGGGGCGGAUGCUGAGGUUGCCAUUGUUGGUGGCUGCAUCUGCAGUAGACGGGUCGGGAUGCCGGCCUCAGACCACAGCGUUGCUAAAUGCCAAACCCAAGGCCUCCCCGUCUUUAACACUGCUGGGCAUUCUACAGCGCAAGGAGGCAGCUGGGGCUGGACUGCCCAGUGCCUGCCGUUGACUGUGCGUCUUCUGCCUGUGAGCUAGCCUGCCACACCUGGGGAUACACGGUGGGGAAAUCAAUCAGCUUCCCUCCCUUCUAGAGCUUCAGGUCCGGCGUUGGUGUCUAGAGGCAAGGGGAGGAGGCAGGGAGGCCUCUUCUUUUCUGUCCCCCUUUCUCUUGGCCAAUUUGGAGGAGAUGGUGGGGGACCUGUCUCUCAUCUGACCUCCUGGAAGCCCUGCCUGCUGCUCCAGUGUGGCUCUCCCAGGGCUGAGGCCUGGAACCUAGGGCUGGGCUACCUGGGGUGCUCAGCUCUGCCGCACCCCAGCCCUCCUCGGCUGCAGCCCUGGCUUCUUUUCUUACCCACUGGGAUGGCCCGUGGGACUAACCUUGCAGCCUGCAGGACUAUGGCCCAGAUGACCUUUCCGGAGCAGGGGAAGAGUUCACAGGUCUCAGACCAGGUUGACCCCGAGCCCUCUCUUUCCUGCUUCGCAUAGGGGCGGGCCAAGGGAGGCAGGGACAAUGGCAUUCCUGUUUGCAGGCCUUUGUUCCCGCCAGGAGGGCCCCCGGAGCUAAUAAAAAGGUUUGUGGCUCCGAUGUCUAAGAGGCAGUGGAGGAGUUCUUUCAAGCCUGACAUUCCAGGCCCAGCCGGCCUCUGGCAUUUCCCAGAAAAACUUCGAGGAGGGGAGGGGAAAGAAAACACUUGAGGGACCCACCCACCUACCCACUGCCCGCCUUCUCGGAUUCCUCGUUCCCUCUGGGGAUUGGGCUGGGCCGGAGUGCCAGGACCCCUGCCCUGGGGGGCCCAUUCCUCCACCCACAGAGGGGCCCUGGGAAGUGUUGAGAGGGUGAGAGUGGAUCCUGAACCAACUUUGAAGGCAGAGAAGUGGGCUAGAAGAAGUGGGGUUGGAGCCUCCACCAAGGACAAGAAGGCCUUAGCCCCCUGCUUCCAGCUCAAGCUGAAGUGGCUGUGAGCUGAGCUAAGAAGACCCCACUUCGCCAGGAGGAGUGCCUCACGCCUGUAAUCCCAGCACUUUGAAAGGCCGAGGCAGGUGGAUCACGUGAGGUCAGGAGUUUAAGACCAGCCUGGCCAACAUGAUGGAGUCUAGCUCUGUCGCCCAGGCUGGAGUACAGUGGCGUGAUCUCGGCUCACUCCAACCUCCGCCUCCCGGGUUCAAGCGAUUCUCCUGCCUCAGCCUCCUGGGUAGCUGGGACUACAGGCAUGUGCCACCCCGCCUGGCUAAUUUUUUUGUAUUUUUAGUAGAGAUGGGGUUUCACCGUGUUAGCCAGGAUGGUCUCGAUCUACUGACCUCAUGAUCCAACCACCUCGGCCUCCCAAAGUACUGGGAUUACAGGUGUAAGCCACUACACCCAGCCCCCAUCUUGCUUCUAGCCUUUAAGCAGUCCUUGUGGAUUCCUGGGUGUAGGCCGAACUAACUUUGGGAAGGAAUUCAGUUCAUGGUUUGACUCUGAAACAAAAUUGACAACAGCCCUUUCCCGAAAAGACCCCCUUCUUGCCUGGGGUCCAGUCGGCCUUUGCAGGACUAACAAAUUAGCUAUAAGAUUAGAAAUAAAAGUUUAGGGUCAUGCAGCCUCUGGCUCCAAGAAUCUGAACCUCCCCAAAUUGCUCCUGGGGAUAACAUCACUAUUGGAAAACCGCAGAUCAGUGCGUGAGAUAUUUUGCAGACUCUGCAUUCAUGGAUCAGCUGACACCACCCAGACCGGUUAUCUGGCUCAACCAGUUCUGCCAUCCCACCCAGGAAUAGAAGAUAGCAAGAAAAAUUCACUUCAACCUUCUACGAUUCCAUCUCCAACCUGACCAAUCAGCACUCCCCACUUCCCAAGCUCCUUUACUAGCCAAAUUCUCUUUAAAAACUCUGAUCCCCGAAUGCUUGGGGAGACUGAUUUGAGUAAUAAUAAAACUCUGGUCUCCCGCACAGUGGGCUCUGCGUGAAUCACUCUUUCUCCAUUGCAAUGCCUCUGUCUUGAUAAAUCAGUUCUGUCUGGGCAGCAGGCAAGGUGAACCCAUUGGGCA
rnacentral:lncRNA from 10 species